rnacentral:rRNA from 1 species
GUGGGGAAUAUUGGACAAUGGGCGAAAGCCUGAUCCAGCCAUGCCGCGUGUGUGAAGAAGGUCUUCGGAUUGUAAAGCACUUUAAGUUGGGAGGAAGGGCAGUAAGUUAAUACCUUGCUGUUUUGACGUUACCGACAGAAUAAGCACCGGCUAACUUCGUGCCAGCAGCCGCGGUAAUACGAAGGGUGCAAGCGUUAAUCGGAAUUACUGGGCGUAAAGCGCGCGUAGGUGGUUUUGUAAGUUGGAGGUGAAAUCCCCGGGCUCAACCUGGGAACUGCCUCCAAAACUGCAUGACUAGAGUACGGUAGAGGGUAGUGUAAUUGCCUGUGUAGCGGUGAAAUGCGUAGAUAUAGGAAGGAACACCAGUGGCGAAGGCGACUACCUGGACUGAUACUGACACUGAGGUGCGAAAGCGUGGGGAGCAAACAGGAUUAGAUACCCGAGUAGUCC